rnacentral:tRNA from 1 species
UGAUGAAUUCAAACAUAGAGAAGCCUUAGUUAGGCUUCAUCUUAGCUUAGGAGAAGAAAGCUAUUCUUCACCC